AAUGAACGCUGGCGGCGCGCCUAAUACAUGCAAGUCGAGCGAGAAGACGUAGCAAUACGUUUGUAAAGCGGCGAACGGGUGAGGAAUACAUGGGUAACCUACCCUCGAGUGGGGAAUAACUAGCCGAAAGGUUAGCUAAUACCGCGUACGCUUCUUGGACUUCGGUUCAGGGAGGAAAGCGAUGCCGAGGGUAUCGCGCUCUUGGAUGGGCUCAUGUCCUAUCAGCUUGUUGGUGAGGUAACGGCUCACCAAGGCUUCGACGGGUAGCUGGUCUGAGAGGACGAUCAGCCACACUGGCACUGCGACACGGGCCAGACUCCUACGGGAGGCAGCAGUAAGGAAUAUUGCGCAAUGGGCGAAAGCCUGACGCAGCGACGCCGCGUGGGGGAUGAAGGU
rnacentral:rRNA from 1 species